AGUCCAAAAGUUAGCUGCUUCAACCAUCAUGAAAGAUGCUGGCCUGGGUGCUGGAAUAUGGAAAUGAGGAAGAUCCUGCCUGAGGAUUUCAUGACAGUGCUGCGAUUACCGACGUGAGCCACUGUGCCCAGCCUCACUUUAAAAAAAAAAAAAGGUUAUGAAGCAUCUCAACACAAGACCUCCUUUGCUCAUCACAACCACCCAGUGAAGCAGGCAAGACAACAGAAACUCCCCACCUGUGAUAGAUGUGAGGCCUGAAGUCUCCCACAUACCCACGGCAGAUGCAACGCACAGCGGUGACCAAUGGUGAAGGAUCUAAAACCUGAAAAGAGGCCAAAUGAUUCCUCAAAACCACGCAAGUACGAAGUAGCAGAGCGGAUCUCAAAUCCAGGUGUGUCUGACUUCCAGCCUAAUGGCUUUUCUUAAAAACACCCCCAAACUCUUGGUAACAUCUAUGCAAUGAAAAGGGUUGUCAUGAAAACUGCUUCCCAGUUUGUUAAAUUCUUAUGCAGGUCUCCAGUGUCAGAAACGCUGAGUAUCACUAAUCUCAAGACCUUCUCUCUGCUAUACGAGCUCUGGCAGAGCUUGUCUCCAAGGGCUAGACAGGAAAAAAAAAAUCUGGGUUCAAUUAAAAUAUAUCAAUAAAGAGAACUAAAAGGAGCUCCAAAACGUUGCUGCCCUUCUGCGGGCUGUCUGUGUGUAAUGCCGGCUCCUUCACUCUUUUAUGGCACCAUGAUUGUGUUUUACCCUCCCGACUGUUAACUGCCAACUGUUAACUGUUAACUGCCCAAGGUUGCCCUGCUGAUGUCAUGCCUGACCAUAUGACUUGCUCCAGCCAAUGAAAUGUAAGCAGAAGUGACAUAUGCAGCAUGACCAGUGGAAGCUUCGAAGAGCUAUUGCCAAUUUCCACCCUCUCUCUGGAAACUGUCAUUAGGGUUAGGGAAACUGUCAUGAGAUCUGCAUAUUUUAGAUAGAGGCUGCUUGCCUUAUUUGGGCACCUAAUGAAAAAGACAUGGAGGCCAGGUGCGGUGGCUCAUGUCUGUAAUCCCAGCACUUUGGGAGGCCAAGGCGAGUGGAUCACCUGAGGUCAGGAGUUCGAGACCAGCCUGACCAACAUGGCAAAACCCCGUCUGUACUAAAAGUGCAAACACAAAGGGAACUGCGUGGCUUGUUUCUACCUGAACAUUGUCAAGUGAUUUCAUCCUUUGAAACACAGUUGUGAAGUGUGUCCAGCAGUCUGAGAACAAGAAGAAGAAGAAAAUCUAAUCCUUCAGGGUGUCUGUGUGCCAGCCCUGCUCUCAGCACUUCCCAUGUGGAACUCCUUUACUUCUCCUAACAACUCCAUGACAUGGGUUAGACUGUGAUUGUUCCCAUAUUGUUGGUAGGGAAACUGAGGCAUGCAGGUGUUACAGAGCUCUCUCAAGUGGCAAGCUUUCUGGGUGGUUACAGAGUGGCAGAGCUGGGGUAUCCCAUGAUGUCACCACACUGCUAUAUGGAAAAGAACAUUAAUCGAGCACCUACGUGCUUGAUUCUCUUAAUUCUGUGACUGAACUCUCAAAACACCCUGGGUAAGCACUAUCAUCUCCUAUUUUCACAAGUGAAAAAACUGGGAUUCAAAAAAAUUAAGUGACUUACCAAAUAUUACAGAGCUAGUAAGCCAAGACUUGAACACUGAGAUGGAAUUCUACCUUUUAAGGUGGCUAAGCAACAGAAGGAUGUUCCUUUCCCAAGGGGGUAAGAAGCAGUGGCCAUGUUCAGCACAAUUGUCCUAUCACAGGUUCAUGGCAGGGACCGAGCAGUGAGGAUGGGCACUGCCCUGUGUCCUAGCAGAGGGCUGCCUUCUGGCUCCCCAGCCUUGGCCAGCAGCCCUUCUAUCUUCAUGCCAUGACCUAUUUUUGUUCACCCAGUUAGUGUAUGGCCUAUUUCUUUCCUUAAGAAUUACUUCAUAACUUUCACAGAGUAAUAGCACAUGCUGAGCACAGCAUUCAUGAACUUGGACACACGCACACAAAAUGUCCCUUUAAAUUCACAGAGCAGUAUCUGAGAUCCAGGUAGAAAGACCAAAAGGAAAAUUAAGAACAGACUCUCAGACCUGCCUUCCCUUUGCAUUCAGGUUGGUUUCCUUUUUACAACUGCCCAAGUCAUGAGUUCAUAGGGCCUGGAUGGCUGUACCGGAUUGCUCUCCAGCUGGUCUCUCUGCAUCCAGAAAUUUCUACAACCUACUGGGGUAAAAUCUUUCUCAACCCUGCUUUUCAUCAUCACAUCUUAAAUAUCUCGAGUUGGUUCCCUAUUGCCAAAAAAAAUCCAUUGUCCAUGUAGGGUUCUUCUGCCGAAACGAGGAAAGAGUGAGUUAAAUGUUGGUAGGUGAUAUAGAGAUAGUAAUUAGGCAAUAUAAUUCGAUGUUGUUGAAAGAGCUGAGCUAUGAAAUGCAUUGUGAUAAAGGGGCUGCCUGUGUAAGUAAAUGGGUAUAAUGAGGUGUAAAACUCCCUUUCUCUCUCUCUUUCUGCUUCAUAAGCCUUUCUGCUUCUCAAGUCCAGACCUGCUGUUUUUGGGGUUUCCUUCCAAUUUUUUUGCUGCUUCCCUGGGGCCUUGGCUCUUGGGCCUGCUGCCUCUUCCCACUCUACACCUUUGGAUUCCUUAUCUUUGGCUCCACCUUAUUGCUCCAUUCUCCAAAGACAAAUCCACAAGGCAUAGGAUUUUACAGAAUAUGGGGUUACAGAAACAGCAUAGGGAAGUGUAAAAGCCUAGAAGCUUCUUACAGACGCAGCCCCUUGUCUGUAGCUCCUGACUCCCACUUAAAUGUCUGUUGGAAGCACCCUGGGGUAGCAGAACCCAGCUCAGAAGAUGGGGCUUAUCCACCAUGCCUUUUCCUAACCUGACACCCACCCAGAUAAUCUUUUCAAUAUGCAAACUAGAGCGUAUCACCCCCUGCUCAGAGCCUUUCUGUGACCUCCCAUUUUGCUUCCCAGGACUCCUUGCUCCUUAGCCAGGUCUCCAGGUCCUCCGUGAUCAGGUCUCUGCUCUUCUGCAGCCUCAUCUCUGCCAUUCUUCACCUUUUGUGCUCCAACCCAAUCUGGUUUUCUUCUCAUGCUUUGAACACCCCAAGUCUGUCUGCUUCAGGAGCUUCGUACUGGCUAAUCAUUCACCACAGCAUACUCCCAUCUAUACGGCUGGCUCUUAUAUUAUGGGUCUCAGCUAAAAUGUCAUCCCUUCAAAGAGACCUUCUUGGACCACCCCCGCCAUUCUCUAUCCUAUUUCUCUCUUUUAUUUUCUUUGAAGCACUUACCCACUUUCAGAAACUAUCUGGCUUGCUCAUGUGUUUGUCUCUAGAUUGUCUACUUCCCCUCCUAGACUGUACUCUCCACAAGAGAGCAAAGCUGUGUCUGUUGCAUUCACUGUUGUCUUCCCAGAAGCAAGCAGCAUGCUGGAGACCCUCAAAUACAUGUGAAAUGAAGGGACACCUUGUGUUAUUUCACCUGUUUCCACCUGGUUCCCAAGUGGCAAGCUUGCAUUGAGGUUACAAAGUGGCAAAGCUGGGAUAUCACAUGAUGUCACCAUGAUGCUAUAUGAAAUGUAACAUUAAUUGAGUACCUAUGUGACCAGUUCUUUAAUUCUGUAAGUGAACUCUCAAAAAACCCUAGGUAAGUAUUAUCAACUCGAACUUUAACGGAUGAGGAAACUGGAAUUUUUUAAAAAAUGACUUAACCAAACAUCACAGAGCUGUAAACCAGGAUUUGAAUGGGUGAGCUGCACUCAGCCUUCAUCUCAAGUCAGUUUGCCUCUUUCUCCAAGAAGCCACAGUUGAUCCUGACCACAUCACAUAUGAGUUGCCUGGAUUGCAGUCAUUCAUUCACUAAGCAUCUUUUAGGAGGUCACAUGCCAGGCACCGUGUUAGGUAAUGAUUUCUCCAAGUCACAGGAGCCGUGGUUCUGACUUUAGAAAGUUUCUCAUCUGAUGGGAGGGCAGGCAAGUAAAUCAGUAAGGGUGGUCCCUGUCGGGACACUGGUUGAGAAAUACCCAGGAACACUCUGAUUGAGAAAUACCCAAAGUGCAAAGUGACAGGGACUAGAGGCAUCUCCACUGGACCAGAGAGCUCUGGAUUCGUCUUGAGCUAAGUCUCUGGAGGUAGGUGUCAGCUACAAGGAGAAAAGCUGUAUAUUUUGAGAUAUGGGAUGCAGGGCCUUUUAGUUCCAUAAAUAAGAGAACUAUGGUGUGAAUACCACAUGCCCUGGGCUGAACUAAGUGGGCUCUAGGGGAAGGUAUACUGGGCAGGGAGUUUGGAGAACUGGUUUCUGUCUAAUCCUUCUCUAACUCUGUGACCUUGAAUGCAUCAUUUCCCCUCUGAGUCUCAGAUUCUCUUUCUGGCUGGCAUUUAAUGAAACCUAAAUAUUCUAGACCUUCUACUUGUUCCAUAAGUGCUCAGUCCUACACUCACUCUCCUCUGGCACCAAUAUACUGAUUACUCAUUUUAUGCCCAGCAGAGCACUGCGUGUUUUGAAAUAUACAAAUAGUGGGAAACGAAAUCUUUGUUCUGGAUGCAGUUAUAAUUUGGAAAGCGAGGAAAUAAAUUAUAACAAGGGGAAAAAACAGACACAGAGGGAUUGAAAUGCAUAACAAUAGAGAUGAAACACGAAGAGUGAUAAAUGAAGAUUGAGUGUGCACACCUUCUGGAGGAGCCCUGAUUGAGUAUUUUAAAAUACUACUAAAGUCAUGCCGUGUGACUUCUGAAGCUAGCUCCUAAGAAGUCCUUGCAGCUUCUGCCUGCGACUCUUAGAACACUUGCUUUGAAGGAUGCCAGAUGCUGUCUUAAAAGUCUGAGCACUCUGAAACCAUCAUGCUGUGAGGAAGCCCAAGCUAACCACAUGGGCAAAAAAGAUGCCCUCUGACUGCCACCAUUUGAGACACUCUAAUUAAGAACUGCCUCAUUGAGCCCAUGAGGCCCUGUGAAUGAUAAUAAUAAAUUGUUUUUAACCACUAUGUUUUUGGAUUUGUUAUAAGUUUAUAGAUAACAAGAAAAAGUUAUAUUAGCAUGGUAAUAAAAUUAUGGAUAUGUGUAA
rnacentral:lncRNA from 10 species